ensembl:lncRNA
AUGAGCAGGCAGCCAUGCGGCUGUUCCCAAGGCUCUGGGUGGGCUGCACAGACAGCUGAGAUCCACCGAGGAGGAUCAGCAACCUGUAAAAGUCUCCCAAAACACACAUGCAGCCGUUGGCAGAACAAUGCAUGCACAUUUCUUAGUAAUUACACUGCGACAGAACGCUACUGCAGCGCUUUUACACCGCGUACACAAAGGGUGGAGCGGGUUUACCUGCUGGCCACGUGGUGGUGGCCGUACUGGGGUCUGCGCAAUGAUGUUACUGUCUAUGGGGUCACGGCCGCCCAGUCGUCUCGCUGCGACGAAAUCCAAGUCAGGUUUCGGAAACGCGUCAGAUUUCAUUCCUGA